rnacentral:rRNA from 1 species
UACGUAGGCAGCGAGCGUUGUUCGGAGUUACUGGGCGUAAAGCGUGCGUAGGCGGUUUUGUAAGUUUGGUGUGAAAUCUCCCGGCUCAACUGGGAGGGUGCGCCGAAAACUGCAAGGCUGGAGUGUGGGAGAGGUAGGCGGAAUUCCUGGUGUAGCGGUGAAAUGCGUAGAUAUCAGGAGGAACACCUGUGGUGUAGGCGGCUUACUGGACCAUGACUGACGCUGAGGCACGAAAGCGUGGGGAGCAAACAGG